AUGUAUCUAUUUGACAAACCUGGGGCAGUUACUAUCUCCUGCUAAGUUUCCCACUAAGAGGCAAGAAGAAAAGUAUUCUUGUGCUUUCUGUCUGUCUGAUUGUGGCAGCCAAGAUUGAAGGGGGAAACGACAUGG
ensembl:snoRNA